GUCGAGGGGUAGAAGGAGCUUGCUCCUUUGAGACCGGCGCACGGGUGCGUAACGCGUAUGCAAUCUACCUUGUACAGGGGAAUAGCCCAGAGAAAUUUGGAUUAAUGCCCCAUAGUAUAUAACCUUCGCAUGUUGGUUAUAUUAAAGUUCCAACGGUACAAGAUGAGCAUGCGUCCCAUUAGUUAGUUGGUAAGGUAACGGCUUACCAAGACGAUGAUGGGUAGGGGUCCUGAGAGGGAGAUCCCCCACACUGGUACUGAGACACGGACCAGACUCCUACGGGAGGCAGCAGUGAGGAAUAUUGGUCAAUGGUCGCAAGACUGAACCAGCCAUGCCGCGUGCAGGAAGACGGUCCUAUGGAUUGUAAACUGCUUUUAUACAGGAAGAAACCCUCCCACGUGUGGGAGCUUGACGGUACUGUAGGAAUAAGGAUCGGCUAACUCCGUGCCAGCAGCCGCGGUAAUACGGAGGAUCCAAGCGUUAUCCGGAAUCAUUGGGUUUAAAGGGUCCGUAGGCGGCCUUAUAAGUCAGUGGUGAAAGCCCAUCGCUCAACGAUGGAACUGCCAUUGAUACUGUAAGGCUUGAAUUAUUGUGAAGUAACUAGAAU
rnacentral:rRNA from 1 species